UACGUAGGAUCCAAGCGUUAUCCGGAAUUACUGGGCGUAAAGCGUACGUAGGUGGAGAUUUAAGUGAGAUGCGAAAUCUGGCGGCUCAACCGUCUAGACUGUGUCUCAUACUGGGUUUCUUGAGGUUGGCAGAGGCAAGUGGAAUUUCCGGUGUAGCAGUGAAAUGCGUAGAGAUCGGAAGGAACACCAAUGGCGAAGGCAGCUUGCUGGGCCACACCUGACACUGAGGUACGAAAGCGUGGGGAGCGAACGGG
rnacentral:rRNA from 1 species